UUUUUUGCUUUGGGUUGUUUUUUUUGUGUGUCUGAACUACUGUUUGGAUGACAUGAGUUGUCAUGCAUUGUUUCAACUCUUCGAGAUGCAUCCAAAGUUUAACUUCUGCAAUAAUAGCAAGAAAAGCUUGAAAAUGCAUGCUGAAAGUAGCACUCCCUGCCCUUGUAAACAGUCAGGUAACAGUUUUGGGAGGUAAGACUUGUACACCAUCACAUGGAUGAAAGGAUCUGUUUCAGGUAAGUGUGAUGCUUGUCUCCUGCUUUAAGAUAUGCCAUGGAAGCUGACCUCAGAAGGAAUAUGUCCUUAUGUUCUCAAGAAGAAAGAAUUGAACUGCAGUGCUGUUCUUCAAUUAUUACAGAUCUAUCAAGUAUUACUUAACUCAUUAGGUUUUAGCUUAGUUUAAAUUCCAAAGUCAUCUGUGAGUCUCCAGAAUCACUUUGGUACUUUCUGCAUGAAAGCAGUGGACUGAUGAAACUCUUGGACUGAACUGUACUCUUAGAGUUCCCCUUCCCUGUAUGUUUUCAUCCCUAUUAAUUUUCCAUGCAGAGUUUUUGUAUUCCUGUACACUUUGGCAGGUGCUGCCUUGUCAUGCUGCAAGACUUGCCCGAUCAGUUAAGAGACUGAGCACUGUUAGUAUGUGUACAAUUGCAGGGUAGUUUAUGCCAGGGAGAGCUCUGUUACAAGUAGAUGUUUGACAUGCUGGUCAUUCUCUGCAGCUCCAAAUUGAAAUGCUAAGUUAAUGCACCACUUCUGAAAAGCAAUAUUGGAGACAGCAGAAGUUUGUUCUACAGUUCUCUUUAUAAAUAAAUAUACAUCGCCUCAUGCCUUUUUUUAGCUGAAAAGCAACUCCCGAAAUUGCUGCACAGAAGUUGAUAUGGAAGGAAGACUCAGCUUCAACGAUGGGAUUCAAGCUGUCAUCUCACUGAAUGUCAGUGGUAGUUGUGGUAUCUCAAGCAUCCAGGUUCACUGGCAAAUAGGACAAGCCUGAGCACGCAUCAGUGAGAACUCAAUCUCGGGAAAAUAGCUCCAUGGUAGGAUGGAACAAGGGAAGGGUGACCUGUUCCAGAUCUACUUUUCACUCUCACUUCAGUAUUACUUUUCACUUUUAACUCCAGCAAUCAAGUGCUUAGCUUGCAUUGUCAAUUAAAGGAGGGAGGACCUUUUCAGAGGUUUUGGUGAUUGCGCCAGCUUUAAAUGAGCAAGAGUACAGUAGUCUGUCAUGAAUGGUCACCACAAAUACACUGUAAAUCUGUUGAGGUCCUAACUGGAGGCACGUUGCUACAAUAGAUACUGUCUAGUGUCAGGAAUGCUGCUUCUCACAAAGUAUGAAGCUCCUUGCUGCAAGUCUCCUGAAUGGCAACUGCACAAGUAGUCCAUUAGUGUUCAGAGCCCUGAAAAUUUCGCAGAUUUUUCUGAAGAGAAUUCUACCUUAAAAAAAGACUUGGUCUUCAAAAUGUAAAAUGUUUUGGGCUGCCUAUGUGUAAAAUAAGGAGGAGCAAAUGCAUGCAAAUACUAAAAUGUUUUAAUGUGUACAUCUUAAAAAAGACAACCAUGGAUAUAAACUCAAAAGCGUUACCUGUCAGGAGUAUACCAUACUGGUUUGUUUUAGCCAUGCCUAAUCUUCCACAACUCAGGAUAUGAAGCUGCCCGUGUGACUUCUUUGUACUGGCUUUUGGACUUUAAAAAAAAAAUUGAGAGCUUUUUUUUGAACUCUCCAAAGCUCUGUAUAGUAUCACACAAAAAGAUUGUUUGUUGUUUUUUUUUUUUAAGGCAGUUACUUCAGUAUGUUGACAGUCUGCAGGUUGAACUUCCUUAACUUUCAGCAUGGAUGAGCUGAACCUCUCUCCCUGUUUAACAUGGAAUUCUUCCUGGACAAGGCAGCUACCACCAACUCACUUUCUCAAAGCAAUAUUCCUUGCUGGACUAAAUCUGCCUUAUUUUCUGUGUUUCUACAACACUUGGUCUCCAGAAGGACAGAGGUUCAGUGCAGCACUUCUGUAGUUAUACCAAGUGUAUAAAAAAGCCAGACUUGCUCCGUGAAAAGUUUUCUGGAUCACAGUGUGUUUCCAUGGAUGAUUACUGUUCCUUUACUAUCUCACCUCCUCAUCAGAUCCAUUCUCAGAUACGUGCUUAUUUUCAAAACUGCUGAUUAACAGAACCUUUUGAUCAUUAUUAACAUAUUUGGUGUGACUCCCAAGUCAGGUAGUAAAUUUGAGUAAUUUAUCAAUCCCUGCAGGAUACAAUUAAAUUCUCACAUGUCUUCUAUAGUCCAGAGCGUACAUGCUAGUCACCUACAGCAAUAUUUGUUAUUUCAGCCCCUAGAAAAACUAUGGUGCUUGAAAUUAGGUGUAUCAGGUCAAAUUGGUGUUUCAUUCCUGCUUGUGAAAGUUCUUUGCAGCUGCAAGCUAUGAGCUGCUCAGGAAGUGAAGGUUUUCUACGUGUGGAGUCAACAUUAUAAUAGCUCAGAAGACCUCUAACUAUAAGGCAAAUACCCUUUUACAGUAGCCCAGGAGAAAUGUGACAAGACAACCAUCUUGGAUUUGUGUGUCAACUGAAAACAGCAAAGAAGAAAGGAAGCUAAUCAGAAGGACCCACAGGAUGCCAUUUUGUGCCUUAGGAAAUAUAAAUGUAACUUGCAUUAUUGCCACCUUGCCAGAUUUCAGUAAAGCUGCCUGAAAUAUGUGACUAUUGGGCAUAUAAGGGAAAACAGCCUAAACUAAUACAACCUGACAAUGGAUUAGUCAGGAAGAAAGUAGUUCCUUUGUUUAACCUUCCAUAUUCAUUAACAGUUGGGGGUUUUCUGCAUCUUUGUUCUUCCUGCUCUUUUCAUUUACUCCAGUGUUACAGCAGAAAAGCUUGAAUUACUAAAUUAUGUUCUUGAAAUUUGGAACAAAAAAACGUGGUAAUUCAUUUUUGUAUUUGAGUAGUAGCUCUUAUAUUGUCCAGGAGUUCACAAUAAAAUGAUGUACAAUUUGCAUGUUCCCUGUACCACCUU